GGCCGAGUGGUCGAAGGCGGUAGACUCGAAAUCUAUUGUACGUUUGCGCGUACCGGGGGUUCGAAUCUUAUA
rnacentral:tRNA from 1 species